CCAUGUCAGGUACAGAACCGCAUUCACUGUCGACUCUACCCCGAAGACAAAAUUUCAUAUCGGUACACUACGUUACCGGCAACCACUACGAAGUCGGAGUAAGCGUCGUAAGUAUGAUAAUACAUUUUUAAAUUUUUUCAGUAUAAUACUAUUAAUUUUGGCUGUAUUACCUGAGCUAUAUGGUUAUUUAGUACAUCGCAUACAAAAUUACGCGUCACAAAAUACCGGAUACAGUUCCGGAUUUGAUUUUCGCAGACAUCCCGUAAUAUAACACACGAGACGUAACCUGUUAGUACGCGAAUGCGUUAAAAAUGUAUGGUAAAUAUUAUGUAACAUAAUCGAAUACGUUCCCAAACCUCGAUUGCACGUAAAUAAUAACUGUCUGCUCAUUAUAUGAUUAAUAACUUACGGGGCUAUAAAUUUAAUAGCGAUAGGACUUUAAUCGGAAUAUACGCCAUUCGCGAAUAUUCGUUAUAGUUAUUAAACAAUCGGAAAUCACCUAUACCUCAGGAGUGGGAGUAACUGUGAUAAUAUACGUUCAAUGACCAUUGUGUUCACAACAGAACAAUAAAUCAUUAUGUCCGUAGAUAUUUUAGGCAUACAAUACAUACGUACAAUAUUUUACCGGUAGAUAAACGAAUUAUAAUGAUCAGAAUAGACAAAAACUGAUAUCGGUUCUACGAUUCGAAAAAAUCGUAUUUAUUAUUUAAAACCGUAAAAAGCAAUAACAGUAACAGUUUGUUAGUAAUGUUAAAAAUAAAUGUGAAUUUUAUCAGCGACCAUUUACAUUAUAUUUUAAUGAUGAAUUUAUUAAAAACGCUAAUGAAUAAAUCGCAGAAUAACUAAAAACAAUAUUUAUGUAUCGACAUUUAAUGUGUUAAUAUUCUUAAUGAGAUCACCGAAUAGAUUAUUAUUAUUAUUUUAGUACCUUUUGAAACAUAGACAAAUUCAGCAUUUAUAGUUUAUAUAAUCUCAAACAGUGUUUUCCGAAAAAAUAAAACAUAUAUUACUAUAACUAUUUACUUUUAAACUACACUCAGAAUGGCUGAAUUGUAUUCACCUUCCAUGGAUAAAUAUCCUAUGAUAAUAACCGGAGGUUAAGAGAUUUAAGCAUACCAAACAAUUUAAAAAUAUAAAUCGCAAAUAAAUUUAUGAAGCGAAAAAAUAUCAAAUAUUAGGUUGAAAAAAUUUGGACACCAUUCUCCCUCCCGUGUGNCAUAAAUAAUAAUUGUCUGCUCAUUAAUAACUAACGGGGCUAUAAAGAUAAUAGCGAUAGGACUUUAAUCGAAAUGUACCACCAUUCGCGAAAAUUCGUUAUAGUUAUUAUACGAAUGGAAAUUACCUAUACCUCAGGGGUGGGAGCGUUGUGAGCACAUUGCUAUAGUAUAUAGUAUAGUAGAAUAAGCCAUUUGCAUUAGAGAAUAAGAGUUAAAUUUAAUCAUUAAAAUGAUUUUAGUUACUAAUAAUCCUUAGAACUGUUUUGUUGUACUUUCUCCUAAAAUUGGAUCCUCACACUACCGUACAAAUAAAACAACCCGUACGAGCACAACUCGUACAGGCACAACAACUGGUGGCAGCGGUGUCGCGGUCAUAAUUUUGGGGAAGAAACAUCUGCAGAAAGAUAACUUGUAUAUCUUAUAUAUAUCUAUUCGAGGUAAUUUUUGUUUCCCUUUGCAAAUAUUAAAACGUAUUCGUUCGUCGUAGGUAUAUCGUCAUAAGGACCAUUAUAUACGAGGUGGUAUAUCAAUCGUUGUCGUCAAAUUGUCACGGGCGUUUAUGUGUUGUCAGCGACGCACGCACCGUUUUUAGUAGGCAGGCAUUGUAUUCGAUUUUGUGUUCCAUUCUUCACAUCUCCAUCGUCGGCGUCGCCGUCGCUGUGUCGUCAUCGUCAUCGUCACAUCGAUGUGAUACUGCGCCAUCCGCGGAUUGCCACCGUCGUGUUGCUAAAGUACCUGCCGUCGUGAUAAACUGUUACGCUAACACCGACGCACCAUGGUAUUCACUAUGCGGAUAAUGUUGUAAGCUAACUACUACUACUGAAUAUUAUUAUUGUUUUUUUUUACGUUGUAUCGACAGAUAUGAGUAUAAGACGUUGUCAUUAUUAAUAUUAUUACUAUAAGUAUUGAUGUAAACUAUUAUUUUGAUAUUAGUAGUGGUAUUAACUAUUUGGGGUGGUGAUGCUACGAUACUCUUAUUCAAUUAAUUUAUUAUUAUUAUUAUAUUUUUUUUUAUUGUGUAUAAAACUGAAUGCAUAUCAGGUCGGUUUAGUGGUGGUUAUAGUAUUUCCGAGAGUUCUGAUUUAGAUGAAAACUACGUCCCAUCGCGAACGAUUGUUAAAAAUCUAUUAGGAUCAUUUAGACCUAUUACUAGAUCACAGAGUUAAUCUUCAGAAGAAAACAUUAAUGAUGAUCGUAGGCAAUCGAAAAGUUUUAAUUCAAAUAUAUUAAUAGAUUUAAAAAUAAUACUCAAAUUUUAGAAUCUAAUAGCACAAUGGCACUUCUUCAACUAUAUUAUCCUUAGAGACUACAGUUAAAUUAAUUCCACAUUUCAAUGGGGAAAAUGUUCAGGAGGAGGUAUACCUAUUUAUAAAUGCAUGCAAUUUUGUCAUGAAAAAUGUUGUAAUGAGACUAUACAGCCUGUGCUCUUACAGGUUAUAAUAACCAAAUUAGCAGGCAAAGCUUUCGCAAUAAACCAACAUAUGGAAAUUUCCACAUGGAAGAUACUUAGGGAAAAUUUAGAAGGCACAUUCUGUGCUACACGCAUACCAGGAUAUCUUCAGUUAGAGCUUACUACGACUAAAUUCCAACAAGAAGAAACAGUACGAGAGUAUGCAGCAAGAGUAGAAAAACUAUUGCACGAACUCUGUAAUGUAAGCACAAAGGAUAAAACAUCCAGUGGCGUAAAAGCUAUAUAUAUCUACAUAAAAGAAACAACCUUAACUACGUAUAUUGAAGGUUUACCAUCUUCUAUUCGCAGUGUAGUGAAAUCAAAGAAUCACUCGACGCUAGAAGAAGCCAUAAAGGAUAGCCUAGAAGAAGAAAAAAUUUAUCAAUCAAAUAAAGGAAUCCAACGUUAGUUGAAUAACAAACCAAAUAAUAGAUAUGACAGUAAAUAUUGUAAAAAUUGCAGGAAAUCAAACCAUAAUACAAAUGAGUGCAGAUACGGAAAUCACAAUGUUGAUACUGGACAACAAAAUAAACAAUCCAAAGGAUUCAAUAAUCAAAGGAAUCAGGAUAUUAAACAAGUAUCAUGUAUUUAUAGCAAGAGAUUUGGUCAUAUAAUAGAAGUAUGCUAUAAAAAGAAAAUUGCAGAUUCAAGAAGGGAAAGUCAAGAUAACCCAUCAACGUCGGGAAACGCCAAAGAAUCGGUCAAAAGUGGCGUUCGUCCAAUUCGUGAAUUAAAAAUAAUAACCCAACACUAAAUGUUCUUCAAUUUUUCAAAAGCCGUAUAGACUUCCUUAUGCUCAAAAGGUAGAAAUAACUAAUCGAGUUGGAGAAAUGCUAUCUUAACACAGGAAAAAAUAGGAUCUGAUUUAUCAAUUGCAUGUGUCUCACGUACGUUAAAUAAGGUUGAGAAAAACUACAAUACAUCAGAGAAGGAAUUGCUAGCAAUAAUUUGGGCCGUCAAAAAGUUUCGUCCAUAUCUGUUUGGGCGUAAAUUCACAGUCGCAACAGACCAAUAUAUUACACUGUAAUUAUAUAGUUUGACUUACAUUAAAAUAAUAAUAGUAACCAAAAAUCCUUAGAACUGUAGUACUUUCUCAUAAAAACUAGAUCCUCACACUUCCGAACAAAUAAAACAACCCACAUGAGCACAAAAACUCGUACGGGCACAACAGGAAGUAACUAUGAUAAUAUUCAUGCAAUGGCUAUUAUGAUCACAUCAUAACAAUAUAUUAUUAUGUCCGUAGAUAUUUUAGGUAUACAAUACAUACAUACAAUAUUUUACCAGUAGAUAAACGAAUUAGAAUGAUCAGAAUCGAAAUGAACUGAUAGCGGUUUUUUAAAUCGAAAAAUCGUAUUUAUUUUUUAAAACCGUACAAUACGCAAUAUCAAUAUCAGUUAAUUAGAUAGUAAUGUUAUAAAUUAAUGUGAAUUUUUUAAGUGAAAUUUAUCAAUUUACAUUAUAUUUUAAUGAUGAGUUAUUAAAAACGCUAAUAAAUAAAUCGCAGAAUAAUUAAAAACAAUAUCUAUGUGUCGAUAUUUGUUAGCUGUUUUUAAAUUUUACAGGUAUAGAACAACGAUUGUUUAGUAUUGAGAUAUAACGUGAAAAAAUCGGAUUAUUUCAUUCAACAAGUGUUAAAAAAAAAAAAAAAAAUAUUUUGAGGAAUUUGUUGAAAAAAUUUUGAAAAUGUCGAAAAAUUAUAUUAAUAAAAUAGUUAAAGGGGAAUUUAAUGUAUUAAUAUUCUUAAUGAGAUCAACGAAUAGAUCAUUAUUAUUAUUUUAGUACCUUUUGAAGCAAAGACAAAUUCAGCAUUUAUAGUUUAUAUUAUCUCAAACAGUGUUUUCCGAAAAAAAAAAACCAUAUAUUACAAUAACUAUUUACUUUUAAACUACACUCAGAAUAGCUGAAUUGUAUUCACCUUCCAUAGAUAAAUAUCCUAUGAUAAUAACCGGGGGUUUAGAGAUUUAAGCUUACCAAACAAUUUAAAAAUAUAAAUCGCAAAUAAAUUUAUGAAGCGAAAAAAUAUUAAAUAUUAGGUUGAAAAAAUUUGGACACCAUUCUCCCUCCCGUGUGGUUUGUACAGACGAGUAUUAUUUCUUUAGGUUCGAUUCCCACAAAUGUUCAAAUGAGAUGAGUUUCUCUAUUGAUCCUUGAAGGGAAAAUUCGGAUACUUCCGGUCAAAGCUCUGAAUGAGUUUUGGAGAUUUAAACUAUUAGGGAUAAUAUUGUUGGUGGUAAACUUGAUUUAUUUUUCAUCGCAGGGACGGGUGUACGCCAACAUGAUCCAACAGUUUGUUAAAGCGUAUAAACCGCUCAAUGAUCAGCUAGCGGCGUACGCGACUCCGAAAGGCAAACAGAUUUACCAAGAGAGCUUGGAUUCUUGUAGGAAAUACUUCCCGCAGUAUGUGAUCGAGAUGGAGGGCAUGGCCGACGGAUCGGGAGUACCAUUCGAACAGGUAAUGUUAUUCGUUAAAAUUUGAAUGAUAAUAUGCUCCUUAAAUGGUCGUAAAAAACAAAUAUGUUAAUUUACAUUACGCAUAACGAACAAAUUAUUUUCAUGUUUACAAUUUUUUCCUUGGCGAGGUGAACUGCUGUCGAUUUAUGAAAGUACACCAAAAAUGAUGGAGAAAAUCUCGUUAGAGAGGGGAGUGGUCUAAAAUGUAUAUUUUUAAAUUAUGGGCAAUUAAAGAGUUUUCUAAUAAAACCGUACAUAUCACGCAUUUUUGCUGUAUAUUUUCAAAAUGUUUAAACUUAUAAACGUAUUUUGUUUAUUUUACAGCUAAUCAGUUGAUAAUUAAAUUAGAAAUGUACAAAUUAUUCUUAAAAUAUUGAAAAAAAAAUUAUUUUUUUUUCAAUAAUAUGUAUUUUUAAGAAAUAAUAAACGUGUAUAACUGGGGAAGGAGUCCAAUUUUCAUUGUAUUUACGCGCGAUUUUUUUAUAUACCUUUAAACUACAUCCGAUAGUACCAAAUUUCGAUAAACACAUCUAUGUUUCAGUUAUUUCUAAUGACUUUGGAUGAUACGCUACUUCUGAACAUGGAUGAUACUGCACCAGACCCAGGUCCAAUUGGAUGCACUUCAAUAUUAGUCAAUCAGAACAAUGCACAGGUAAGACAAAAAUAAUAAAAAAAUAUACGUACACUACUAGAAAUGCAAAAAUCUUUAUUUCUCGUAACUUGUAUUUUAAUUUUUAAUUUUUCUAUGAAAUCUCUUAUCCAUAUGAGCUCUGGAAAGGUCGAUGAAGUGAUUAGCAAGUGUCUGGCUGAUUAACUACAGAGUAAUAUUUUUCUCAUAAACCAGCAAUUUUUUCGCAAGAAGAUUUUAUGUAAAUUUGACGUCAUAUUUUUAAAAACUAAUAUUCAAUCGUUUAGCCGAUAUUUUAACACUAUUUAAAAUUUUUUUUUAUCACUACUCUUAAUGCUAAAAGUGAGUAUCAAAAAAAGAUUUUUAAAUUGCAAUUCCCUCCCACUAUUAAUCAUACUUUCCAAUAAAGAUUAUUUAGACAUUAAGUACAGUUUAACGUUUAAACCGGAGGAGUUGGGAAGAGUCAUCAAUUUAUUGUUUAAAAAUCGAUACAGAAUUUAUUACUCUCCCUUACUCCUUUAAACAGAUCUUGAAUUAUUGUAGCUCAUAAACAGUUAUUCUGAUAUUAUUGUUAUACAUAUCAACAUUUCUAGAAAAAUAUUCUCUGUUCAAAAUCUGUGAUUGAAAGGAGGAGGAAUAGCUGUUUAAAAUUCCUAAGUGAAUACUCAUCUCAGUUAUAGAGAAUAGGUAAAACUUACAAAAUUCCAUUAAGAUAAAAAAAAAAACCACAUAAAUAUCAAAUUUACAUUGGUUCGUGAUAAAAGAAUCACCUUGUGAAGUGAGAGUCUUCUAUUUCGUGUUCAGUUCAAUUUUUUUUUAAAAUUCCGAGGCUUAACGACUUGAGUGCUUAAAAUCUUUGUUUUCCAAGGUCUUGUUUGUGAUUUAGGAGUAUUUAAUAAAUAAGUACUUCACGUGACUGAAUAACAUGUUCUGCGUUGGAAAACACUGCUCAGGCUAAAGAUUUAUUGAAGAAACCAAAUUUGUAUCACAGAUAUAGUAGAAUUUGCACUGUGCAACAUUGAUUUUAUUUUUUCGACAAAAAAGAGUUAAUCCAGUUUGAAAUACUAAAGAAUUAUUGAAUUUUGGAGUUUAUAUUUAUCUGAAAAAAAAAAAAAUUAUAAUAUUUAUAUAAGCUUGACAUGUUUAUUGUCCAUGUGCUCACAACAAUGUUGGCGAAUAUUAUUAUUAUUACAUUUACACCAUCAUUCGUUACGUGACCGGUGAUAUCGAAGCUUAUUGUAAUCGCUACAGCCCAAUGUGACAAAAAUAGAUAUAAUAUUGCCCAAAAACCACAUAAUUUCACUGCAUAUGUCACUAUAAAAUAGGUGUCUAAACCAUUUACAGGACCAAUUUGAUUAUUUUUUACACAGAAUAUUUUUAUAAAAACUAAUCAUUCAGGGAAUUAACUAUAGAUAUACGUUUAUGGUUUUAAAUUUGACCAACUUUGAUACUGCAAUACAUCGCGUUAGGUGUUAACAUGUUCAUUGUGCAACGGAAAUGCCUGUAACGAUCAUUUGUUGCAAGUGUGGACUGUAGGGCUUUUACCGGUAACCUACGAUUUAGUAUGUGACACGUUCGGUUUUGGUCUAUUAUACAGUUUUUGGGCCACACCGAAGACGCGUUGAUCGAGACGGUUAACAACUAUAUCAUAUUAGCCGCGCACGUGGUCCCGAGCGAACGCGAGAAGGGCGGCAUUUUUGCUGCCAGAGAAGAGAAGUUUGAAGCACUCACCUACCUAGGACAUCUUUCUGGAUAUGCCAGUGGCCACAAUGUGUUUGGUGUUAUUUUCUCAGUCAACACGAUAUUCGCUAGCAAACCGCUCAGGGGCAGAAUUCGUGAGUUUGCUGUUUAUAUCCGUCUCUGUCGGGGAUAAUCUAUUUUAUUUUAACCUAACUUUAUUUUUUUCCAGCACGGGAAUUCAUCUGCAGAGCUUUGCUGGCCUCCGGGGCUGACUUGAACGAAGUCAUGUCAAUUUUGGUUAACCAGGGUUGUGGCACGGCCGAUGCGUUCAACGUCAACUUGGGUUUUCUAAAUGACCCCUUAGGAGAGCGGGUGUUUUACACGAUCGAAGUGGUCCCCGAUCCAACAGGUCCAUAUUCCGAAGCUUCCUUUACUAGCUUUUCGACGGGCUACAACUCAUUGCACACGAAUAGGUAUUUACUUUAUUGUAGUCGUGCGGGAAAAUAAUAAAGAUAAAAAGCUAUACUGAAAAUAUAACGAAAUAAAAAUUAUUUCCUUAUAGCCAAAAAUUAUUUUCAUCUACGGUUUCUCAUUCGUAGUCAGAUUUUUUCAAAAAACAAAGACAACUGUAGUCUUUGUGUCCUUUAUAUAUAAUACGAUAUGCAUUAUAUAUUUAUUCCAAUCUGUUAUAUGUGAAUAAAAAAAACUAAGGUGUGUAAAACUAAUUGUUUACUCUACACCAAAUGUGGUCAAAUUGUGGAAUUUGAUUUAGGUUUUAGGGUGAUUGAAAUUAUAAAAACUGUUUUUAAGUUUAACAUGAAUUUCACCAUGAUGUUGUUGUGGAACGAGGGUGGUUUUUAGAUUUGAAAACACCUAUACGACAUAAAGUUAGAUAAAUGCGAUUUUGUACUUGGUCAGUUGUAGCAUAAAAGAUGUGUUUAUUUGGAGUUGUAUACUUCAACUCACCCCUCUAUUAAUUAUAUGCUUAAAUAACACAAUUUUUCGGAAUAAGACGUAUUCCUUACAAGUAUUCUCCUAGUCAUCUAAACUUAAUCUCAUUGUAUUGGUAUUGUUAUAGUAUUCAGUUUUAGAUUCAGAACAUAGCGAGGGAUCUAUUGGUUUUUACUAUGAUUUGUUUUUUUUCGGUCUGUAAACAAUUUUUCGAAAAGAAUUCUUGCUCCCAUGUACUGGGUAUAUAGGGUAUACAUACAUGCAGAGUUGGUGCAAUUUGGAGUCCGUUUUUUGAUUUUCCAAUAGGGUUUACUAAAUAAUUGAGAAAAACUUAAAUGGAACUCAUUGGUAAAAAGGUAAAUAUUUACGGCGCCGUCAUAUCGUUAAUGAUUUCAUUUUUUUUAAUUAAACAAACUAUUUUUUCUUUUAGAAAUAAUGCUACACUCGAAAAAUGACUAAAUAUCGAUUUGCUUUCAUUUAUAUUAUAUUCAUUUUUAAGUUAAAUGUAUUCGUUUUUUUUUUCCAUUAAUAUUUUAAAAUCAAAUUUUGACGAAAAUCAUUAAAAUUACGGUAUUUCAAUAUAUGUCUUACCUCCGACUUUUCUCUGAAUUGUUUUUCUUUAUUAAUGGUUUAUCUUUGCGUACAAUUAUAAAUUAUACAAAUUUAUGAAUCCUACCUAUCCAACUUCCUACGCACAACAGUGGUUUCACCCGUCACUAAUAUCAGUAUUGUUUUUUUUUUAAAAAUAUUUCUUUAAAAUAAAUUAGGUAUUAGCAAGUUUGACUUCAAUGACGGAGAUAUGAUAAUCAAACGUUUUGUUUUUAUAUAGUAUAUUAUUUUUUAUUAAACUAUUUGACAUAAAUGUUAAAAAAAAAGUAUCGCAUACUAUUAUGUAGUUUUAUUAGUAACUUGAUAUUUAUAUUUACGUAAUUAUACACAUAAGCUAAUUUAUUUAAACCAUUUACAUAGGUAGUUUUUAAACAUAUUGUAAUCAGCGAAAAUAAAAUAAUUAAGGUUUUACGAAAUAAUAUGAAACAUAAUUCAAUUAAUAGAUGAAUUUUAGUGUAAUUUGAACAUGUUAAUUGAAUGUUAAAUGAAUAUCAUGAUGGGAUAACUUGUGCAAGGAACAUGGAAACAGGAACACAGGAACAUGGAAAGAUAGUGUUUCAGGGCACUUAAUUUGUCCGGCAAGAUUUUUAAAAAAGAAAACAAUUUUUGGCUUCAACCUCUUUGUAUCUAGAAUGUAAAAUUUUAAAAUUUGAAAUAGAAAUGCAUAUAUUUGAUAUCAUUAUCUUGGAAUUUUAAAUUCGUUACACAAAAACCGCAACAACUUACUUAAGAUUAUUACUCCUAUUAAAUUAACCAGAUGACCUUCAUAAUGACGAGAUUACUUAAAAAUAGAUCUGGCAAAAACAAGUUAUUAUUUUGUAAAGCAGAGAUGUUUAAAAAUUACUGUAAUAACGAUAAAAAAUCCAAGCAUUUUUAACGUCUUACUUUUUAUGUCAGCAAUAGGUUGAUGAAGAGUAAUUUUGAAAUCAAAAAAAAACACCCAAGUCUUUAAAAUGAUUUGUAUCGAAUGGUUUACUAUUUGGAUUAUAAUCGAAUGGAAUAAUAUCUUUAAAUAGUUGCAGACAAGUAUGGCUCAUUGAUUUAAAUUUUGCAAUAUCAUAAUCUUCAGAGCUUUAGGGCUUCCGAAUUCCAGAGUUAAGUCUUCACAUCUCUUAAAGGCCUAAUUGUAAGUAAAUAGCAAGCUCAUUAAAAAGUGGAGAUUACUUUUUGACUACGUGACAUUCUCCAAACUGAAAACCAAAUGUAAACGUCAAUCUAAGCAUGAAAACUCCCUUAUUAUUAGUAAUAUUAAACGUACCGUUUUAUCAAAUUCAUCCUAUUUUUGGACUUUUAAAAGAAAAUUGAUUUAUAAUCCACUAAUUCCAUCUGUAGUUGAUCUCCUUAAAAAUAUCUAGCUAUUCCAAGGAUACUGCAAAUUUAUUCUCCAAAUAUUUUUUGCCCAUAUUAUAACCUAUUUACCCACUACUUUCAAGACGUUCUCUAAUAAUAAAUAUCCGUAGUACCUACUAUCUUAUUGCUCCUUCUCCUCCGAAGACGUUCCAACUACCCUAGAAACUCUUAAAAAAAAAACUCUCCCAAUGGUCCAGAUGGAGUUUCUGAUUUAACUAUUGCUGUGCUAUUGCUCCCCCUAUUUAAGUUCAUUUUUAGAUUCCUUCGAUGAAGGAACCGUCUCCCUGGUGUGGGAAACCAGAUGUAUCACACUUGUUCUCAAUUUCAUAGAUCCUUCUGAUGUUUCUAUAUGUAUAGAUCCAUUCACACCAUAUGACAAUUAGCUAAGCUUUUCUAAACCAUUAAUUAUGUCUUUAUCGAAGGAUGUUUCAACUAUAUAAUACCGGAAAUCCAACAUUUACAUUCUCAAAAAUAGACAGACUCCUUCUCCGACUGCUAAGUUUUACAAUCGGAACUACUUCGGUUUGGUAAAACCAAUUUUUAAAUAUUGUGUGACAGUUUGGCAUCCACACUUGGUUUAAGAUUAACUGCGGAUAUCAAUUAAAAAUCUCACCUCACAAAUUAUACUUGCGUGCGUUCAAUCUUCAAUAUUUAAGUUUACUUCUCAUCAUAUUAAUACUAACUUCGUUUUCAUUUCCUAUGUUUUAAAUAGCACGCUUGAUACCCCUGAUUUACAAGCUUUGUCUUACUGCACGUUUCCACUCACCUCACUAGAAAUUUUUAUUUUUUAUUUUAUUUCUACCAAUCUCACUAUGAUUUACAAUAUUUCAAUUAUUCGUGAUAAUCUAUAUUUUUAUCGUAUAUUUUUUUAUAUAUUACUAGCUGACCCGGCCAUGCUUUGCUAUUGCUAGGUAAUAGUGUGAACAAUAAUAUCAAUAAUCAUAGUUUUUAUCCGUGAUAACUAAAUUGUCGUCUAUGUACCUUGGUGAAUAAGCAAAAAUAAAUAAAUGAACAAUUCGAUAUUAUUACCAAAAAAUAUCUAAAAACCUAUUUUUUCCCCUUAGGGAUUCAAUUUUUAAAAAUCUUUUCUUAGUGGAUUCUCACGUCAUAAUAGCUAUUUGUGUGCCAAAUUUCAACUGUUUCAUCCAUUCAUUAGGGCUAGGCGAUGAUGAAUCAGCUACUCAGUUAGGACUUGUUAUUUUGUAUAGUUAUAAAGAUUAUAGCGAACAUGUUAAAUAAGUAUAAUUCAUCAAUGAGUAUGAACUUGUCAUACUAUAAUAAGGUGUUGUAAUAAAUUCGUCAACCCCAACGUUAGCAUACAAUAUAAAUAUUAUUUUUUUGUCCGUUUCAGACUGCUUCAUCUGAAAUACCCGGAACUACACAACGAUGGUUACAAUGGCAGUGUGACUAGGGAAAUUCGGUACGAUAUAUUAACCGGACAAAUGCCAAACAAUAAGAUCACGAGUUUGGAAGAGCUGUUAACUGUACUCGGUAACCAGGAUGACAUGGGAAUAUAUCCAAUGUUCGGUGAUAGUGACACCGCACAUGUGAACACAAUAAACUUAGGUAAAUACAUUGUAUACAACGCUAUUUUAUUUGGAUAAGUACUUGCCGAAUGCUCAUUUAGACCCAUGAACUAAGAAAAUAUGAAGUAGUAACGACAAAGUAGCUGAAUGAUAGGAGUGAAGUCGAGUAUUUCGAGAGUCAGGAUAACAGCAAAUUAGUAGUAUUUAAUAGAAGAAUCUACGGCAUAGAAUAGCAAAACAUCGUACAAUCAACCAUGAGUUAGGGUUUUUUUCAGAAUUUAAAAAUGAAACUAGAAAUUUAAAUAUGUUUUAUUUUAAAAAUUCAUAAAACAUAAAUUUUAUUAACAAAUUGAUAAAAUAUUUUUUAUUUACCAAUUUAAAACUUAUGCAUAAAUAAUGAAUCUUAAAUGCUAUACAAUAGUUUUCUUACUUCUUUAGUUAGGGCCAUAUAUUUUACGAUUUGGCCAUGUACUAAAAUACAGUAGGGCACAUAUGCAUUUUAAAUUUUCUAAAGCUUUUUUUUUCGUUUUAUUAUCAAAAGAAGGAGCAGUUGCCGAAUCAUUGUAUUUUAAAGUAUCGAUAACGACAAUUGAACACUUUUCCAUAAACUGUUAAUGGCUCAAUAUGAGACUAAAAGUCCGGUUUCAUAAUUAGACCCUUGUAACGCUAUAUACAUGUAGUAUAAUUAUGUACAGUUAUAGAUCAUAAAUAAGGAUGGUUUUAUAGAAAUUUUUAUUUUAUUAAAAUUUUUUUUUUGAUUCUGCAUGAAACGAGAAAUUUACCGGUGUUUAUUUAUUUCUUUUUCUGUGAACAACUUUUUUAGCAGCAGUGUUGCUCUGAUUUACAAUGAUAGCAUUUUUUUUUUGAAAAAAAAAUCGUAUUGGAGAGGUCCGGGAAACCGGAAGAAAUAUAGGAAAAACGGAAAAAUAGGUCCAUUUUUAAACAAAUGCAUAAUAUGUAAUUAUUUUACCAUAAUAUAACAUAUAUAUUGUUGACAAAGCAUCACUAUCAACUGAACUCCGCAUAAAGUAAUAAGAUAUUAUCUAAAAAGGUAAAUUUUAAAUUUCUAGCUAGUUAGUGGCCAGCACUAGGGUAAUCGUGAUGUAAACAUGAAGGUGAUAUUUGUGAUGUUUUUAACGCCAUACUGCGUUAAAUAAAAAAGAAACACUGCGUUAUUAAUGGCUUUAAUGGCUAAUGCUAUUAAUUAUUAAUUUUAACAACCACCAGUUUCUUUCUUAGAAAUCGAUGAAAGAAUACUUUGUGAUAAUUUUUCCCAAUAAUUUUCCUAAUCGUAAGUACAACACCGGGUGAAUAAUUUGAGUUUUAUAAAUUGUUCAGUUUUUGGUAUUCUUGAUUGAACACUAUUGGACUCUAUGGGUGUAUUCCUGAUGUUAAAAAUGUUUUAAUGCGAUUUAUUUUCUAGAUGGUUAAAUUUUUUGUUUCGUGCUAGUCGUGUUGCAUAUAUAGGAACCCCUGAACAUGUUUUCAUCCGUUUUAUCCAAUGAUAAACCUCAGAUACUUCAGUCAAAUUAAUUAUUAAUAUACACAAUAUAAUUUAAUCUUUAAUUUAUUAUUAUUAUAAAUAUAAUGAUACAGGUGGAAGGGCAUGUGCUCUAUGGAAAUAUUUAGGUUAUUUUCGUUAUUUUAUCCUGUUAAGAAUAUGAGUACGUUAUAAUACAAUUGAUCUAUACUCAAGACAUCAUACAAUUAACCAACUGAUGUCGAGCUAUAAAUGUUUUCCAAUUAAUUUUCUUCAUAAGUAUAAAAUAGUGCAUAAUUAUGACAUAAAACUAAUGUUAGGAUUUAAGUCAAAAUCACAUUCAUUAGAGAGUAGUUAAAUGCAUUCUUGAUCAUCAUUCAUCGUGCAUAAAUAUUAUAACGAACGCGAUAAAUGCAGUAAUUCUAAAUCUUGAACAAAAUAAAUUUAUAAAUUUUAAUGAGUUAUGUUAUUAGCGUUUCUAGAAUUAAUUUCAAAAAAUUUCAAUUAUCAUGAUUUAUGAAUGUUAUGAAUUAUGACUAUUAAGCUUGUAGUUUAUAACAAAUUAUCGUUUUUUUAUUAUUUAUAGGUGUUUUCGACUUUGAAGAAAAAACUUGGACCAUGUGGUGUAAUGAUCCACUCAGAAACCAACCUCUGUUGCAGUUACCACUAACAUUUAAGGACCUAAUUUAUCCAACAUUGGAUGAACUCAUAAUCAACAACAUUAAAGAUGUUCAACCAGUUGUACUGAACGAUAAAGAAAUAAAAUAAAAUUAAACAUUGUAAGAUAUCAUAUGAUUUCGACGAAAAUCUUGUUUAGAUAUAUAGGUUAUAAUAUUGCUAAAUUAUUAUUAUUAUAUUAUGAAAUAUGGGAAUAUUGUUUUUUUCCAUUGAGCAUAUAUUAUUAACGAACUCGGUAAUAUCUUAGUGUAUUAUUAUUUUCAAGUUUAAUGUAGUAAAUAUUAAUUAAUAUAAUAAGACGUACAAAACAAUUUAAUUAAUUUCAAGUAAAGUUCAAAAUAUAAAUUUAAAUUAAGAUACUGCCUGCA
rnacentral:lncRNA from 1 species